UACACUCCUACGGGAGGCAGCAGUGGGGAAUAUUGGACAAUGGGCGCAAGCCUGAUCCAGCCAUGCCGCGUGAGUGAUGAAGGCCCUAGGGUUGUAAAGCUCUUUCACCGGUGAAGAUAAUGACGGUAACCGGAGAAGAAGCCCCGGCUAACUUCGUGCCAGCAGCCGCGGUAAUACGAAGGGGGCUAGCGUUGUUCGGAUUUACUGGGCGUAAAGCGCACGUAGGCGGACUAUUAAGUCAGGGGUGAAAUCCCGGGGCUCAACCCCGGAACUGCCUUUGAUACUGGUAGUCUUGAGUUCGAGAGAGGUGAGUGGAAUUCCGAGUGUAGAGGUGAAAUUCGUAGAUAUUCGGAGGAACACCAGUGGCGAAGGCGGCUCACUGGCUCGAUACUGACGCUGAGGUGCGAAAGCGUGGGGAGCAAACAGGAUUAGAAACCCUAGUAGUCCCAUGAU
rnacentral:rRNA from 1 species